CGCUGGCGGCGUGCCUAAUACAUGCAAGUCGAACGCUUCACUUCGGUGAAGAGUGGCGAACGGGUGAGUAAUACAUAAGUAACCUGGCAUCUACAGGGGGAUAACUGAUGGAAACGUCAGCUAAGACCGCAUAGGUGUAGAGAUCGCAUGAACUCUAUAUGAAAAGUGCUACGGGACUGGUAGAUGAUGGACUUAUGGCGCAUUAGCUUGUUGGUAGGGUAACGGCCUACCAAGGCGACGAUGCGUAGCCGACCUGAGAGGGUGACCGGCCACACUGGGACUGAGACACGGCCCAGACUCCUACGGGAGGCAGCAGUAGGGAAUUUUCGGCAAUGGGGGAAACCCUGACCGAGCAACGCCGCGUGAAGGAAGAAGUAAUUCGUUAUGUAAACUUCUGUCAUAGAGGAAGAACGGUGGAUAUAGGGAAUGAUAUCCAAGUGACGGUACUCUAUAAGAAAGCCACGGCUAACUACGUGCCAGCAGCCGCGGUAAUACGUAGGUGGCGAGCGUUAUCCGGAAUUAUUGGGCGUAAAGAGGGAGCAGGCGGCACUAAGGGUCUGUGGUGAAAGAUCGAAGCUUAACUUCGGUAAGCCAUGGAAACCGUAGAGCUAGAGUGUGUGAGAGGAUCGUGGAAUUCCAUGUGUAGCGGUGAAAUGCGUAGAUAUAUGGAGGAACACCAGUGGCGAAGGCGACGAUCUGGCGCAUAACUGACGCUCAGUCCCGAAAGCGUGGGGAGCAAAUAGGAUUAGAUACCCUAGUAGUCCACGCCGUAAACGAUGAGUACUAAGUGUUGGGGGUCAAACCUCAGUGCUGCAGUUAACGCAAUAAGUACUCCGCCUGAGUAGUACGUUCGCAAGAAUGAAAC
rnacentral:rRNA from 1 species